AGGGGGAGCGGGGCUGCCGCCCGCCGGGGAAGGCCGCGGCUGAGGAGACACCUGGGUUUCCCUGGCAACAGAAUGGCGAUAUCAGUCAUCCAAUGCUGUAGCAGCACUCUGAUCUGCAAGACUGAGAGAUUUUGAAAAACAUCUCAUCUAGAAAUCAGAACUUUUGCAUAAAGGCUUUCAGAUCACACUUCAUCCUACAGCUGUGUCUUCAGGAAGGAGCUUCUGCAUGGGAAUGAAGGUACAGAAGAAGGACUCAUUAAUGCUUGGCCUCUGCCUGUGGUCUGCAAUGAGAUAUGGCAAAGCUCAGUCCUCAAGCCUUCUUCCUGUGACCAGGUACAAAUGUGUUUGGUUUUUUUGUUUCCUAAAGAGUAGAUAUAUUAGCUCAAUGGAAACUCUAAUCUUAUAUGCCUCCCCUGACCACAAUAGAUUCC
rnacentral:lncRNA from 1 species